rnacentral:lncRNA from 1 species
UCUAGUCAAUGAUAUACUUUAGUGUAGAGUUCGAUCACAUGCUUAUUAGUGUAGAAUCCAAGGAACUAUUAAUACAAUUAUCUAGCACGAUAGGUCCAUGAUACAGCAUUCCAGGUACAAUAAUAUUCAUCAAAUAUAUGUGUAUAAGAUUACAUCAUUGAUGAAUACAAUUAUCUAGCAUAGCCCUAAGGCUAUUUAAAUGGCGGCGGAAGUCUAUUUAAAUGGCGGUGGAAGUCUUGAUUUGGUAGCGUCUCACUCUGGCUGGACUCCAUAACUCACAUGACUGGCAAGAUUACGGCCUAGCACGACGGAACAAGCGAACAAUUCGGGCACGACCUACAAAACCCAGGUCAGUACAUUGAAUGUACUUGCAAGACAACCAAAUACAUAGCAUCCAAACAAACAGAUGACAAAGCAAGAACCAAGCAUAUGCAACAGUCUACUUCAACACAACUUCUAAGCAUGGCAUGAUAUUAACUAGAAUCAUAAAUCAAACUAAGCAUGAACCACAUCAUAGCAUCUACUAGCAUGGCAUAUCAAACUUACUUCCAGCAAAGCAACAACAAAGCAUUGCAUAUCAAAACAUGGCAUGGCAUCAUGAAACUAUGCUGAAAAUAAACUACUAGUUACCUCUCGUGAAGAAAUGUUGUAUUAAUCUUACGAAUCAAUCACUUACUCUGCCACAGCUCCUCGGAGCACACGCAUGGCUUACCAAGACCUAGUCUCGGGGUCAUAUCAACACGUCAUCGUGACUUCUCACGAUUUUCCCAUACACCAAGUCACCACAUGAUUUAUAUCCUCUUAGUUAUCACACAAGUUAUUAUCAGAUUUAUCCUCCAUUUCGACCAAGACCCGAUAGUGUCACCUACUACGAACUUGUGCCCAUGACCGAGGACGCGGCUAUUGAUAGAUUAAAUAUACACUCUGCAGAUGUAGCGCACUUUACACACAUCACGGAACCUUGGCCUCGCACUCCCAUUCGGGUGGACCAAAACCUUCCGAUGAAACCGAGCUACUGCCAUGACACUCUCCUAGCCACUCCGACCAACACCCGCUUGGGGUUCAGUCCUGGGCGGCCCCGUGUCUACCAACGACACCAACAGCCACCGUCGUGGCAAAAACGGUCCCAAACGGGGACAAGGUUACAUAAAAAAAUAGCACACAAGGUUAUGUCCGGCUACCUGAUCAGGGUAGCGCGUGCCCAUAACCUUCCCUCAUGGGAGGCACCGGAGAGAGGCAUGACAAUAGACCCAGCUAGGACCUCCCCAUAAGGUAAAUGUGGUUGCACUAGAGAAAGCUCGAUUUGGGUGGCACAAUGAUAUCCCAGUGAUGACGGAGGAGGUUUGUUAUUAAGUCAUAUUAUUAACUUCUCCAUCAUCAAUCAUCCUGCGAGCAUUGUUAACAUGAAUUCAACAACUAACACGCAACAUACCGAUGCAGUAACAAAACAUCAAGCAUUCAAAAAAAAACAAUGAUAGCAUGCGAAACAUGGCAAUAACAAGUACUAGCAAACUUACCAGUGCAACAGAAUUAUCAUAACAUCGAUACUACUAACAUGGAACUAAACUAGACAGAGGCAUGACAUUAUUAGUAACAACAUCAAACUAGCAUGUCAACUUAUUUCAUGAAAGCAUAAGCAUGCAAGACAGAUAACAAAAACAUAAAGCACGGCUAAACAUACACGAAACUACUACAACUAAACACACACACACGAGGUGCAAGCAAAGUCAACAUGCAAGUUUGAGGCUCUUGAUAAGAGGUUGGCUUGCCUGGGGGUCGGGGAUUACUCUGGAAAAAGGUGCGGAACGAUUGCGGAAAGAGUUGCCGAAAACAGUUCUCUCUCGGAGGGGGCUGUUUACGGGCAAGGGCAAAAUGGUCAUUUUCACUGUGUGAAAACAUGGUGAAAAUGAUUCCAUCCAAACGGGCUCGACGAAACAAAGAAGUGGGCUUUGGAAUCACCUCAAUCGGAGUUGUGAGCAAAAAGAUAUGAUAGUUUUACUGCUAGGGACCUAUCUGUAAUGAAAAUAUUUUCAAACAGGGCCUGGACAGAAAAACAGAAAACGUAUUAGGUGAAAUACGCUUUCAGAACCGGGAAAGCGCACUUUGGUAUAAAGAAGAACUGGAUUACGUUUUCACUGAGAAAAAGCGCCUUCUUGGUUGAAGCAGAAUAAAACUACGCUUACACGAAGGGGAAACGUAUCCAGCUGAUUACGCGUUCACUUAAGUGGCUGGGCCCGCCACUUAUGCACGUCAUCCGGUCCGAGUGAACGCCUCUGCGACCGACUGGCGGGGCCCGCGGGCAGGUGGGGUCGACCUGAUCGUCGUCUUCCUCCUCCCGCUCGCACGCGCGCCUGGCAGAGAGAGGGGCUCACCUCGACGGCGAUCGCUGGCGUGUCCGGCCACCUCUCGGGGCAUGGAACCUACCCAAAAGAUUAGGGCGGAGAGGCGCAUCCCGUGGUUGUGUCAGCUACCGCCGAGGAUCACGAGGGAGGAGCAGGAAGGCGGGCGGCGGAGCAGGCCUUCGGCCUCCGGCGAACAGGGGGCUCCGGUGGGGAAACGGCGGGGCGGAGGCCACAGGGAGGUUCGCCGGAGCUUGGGGAAGGCAGUGGUGGAGGUGGAACGGCGAGAGGGGUGCGACAUCUUCGGGAUCGAGCAGAGCCCGAGAAGGCGGCCAUGGCGAUGGGGAGGGGUCAGAGAGGAGCUCUGGGCUAGGAGAGAGGCUCUGGGAGGCGUUAGGGACUGCGAGGGGGUCGAGGGCUCUACUUAUAGCCGCGAUGAGAGCUCGAGGGGGAGGGGAGGAGGUGACACGCGGUGCGGAUACGUGUCCGUGCGCCGGCGACGCGCACACGCGGCCAAGGGUCACGGGGAGCGGCGAGAAGGCGACGAGGGUGACGCGGACGAGUGCCACUGGGGUCACGGAGACGAGGGACGCUCGUGGACGAGAGGGGAAAACGGACAGGAGUGAGGAAAUGAUGGCGCACAUGGGAGCUUACUGUGUUCGGCGACGGUGAAGGCUCAACGAGGAAGCAAACGAAGGGGGAAAGGGGUCCAGGCGCAUGGCGACGAUGAAGCUGAGCUGGUUGACACUCGGGGACAUGCCAGAACCGGCCAGAGCGGCGCUUCUGUUGCCAAUAGUGGCGAGACCACCGUUUUGGCCUGCAUUGCCCCGUGGUAACCACCGACAACACACGCUUUGUUUGUCUACUUAGUGCCAAACCAUGUCAACUGUGGAGUCCUUCCAAGGCUCAUUAAAGAAGAUGUGAUGGCACGGGCAGAAGUGUAGGGAGCAGAGGGUCACGAGCUCGACAAGUUUUCUGUUGCAAACUUGGCCAUGUUCUGGAGACUAAACCAGAGAGGUUAAGUGGAAAACUUGAUGUCUAGGAGGCUUAGGGUAGCAAAGACUAAGGUCAUGGGAAUUAUGAGGGCAUUUGGACAAGUAUUUAGCAUAGUUGUAGUGCAACUGCCAAAUGUGGUCCAGAAAACAAAUGAUGAAGAAGCACUGACUAGGAGUGUUGGCUUGGGCUAAAACUUGGCAAAGCUUCCUCAUUUGGUCAUAUGUACAUGCUGCAAAAAGGUCAUACAAAAUGGACUUCACAAAUUGGUACGUGUUUCACAAGCAUCACAUCUGACCCGAAACUUUGGAAAAAUCCAGGAAAAUAUUGGCUACAUGAAAUGAGCCAAACGUUGUGGAGGAUAGGUUAUAUGGAUAGGAUAAGGCUUGAAAAUAUUUUCAGCCAUAAUGGAGCAAGAUAAAAUAUACUUGCUUCACAAACUGAAAAUUCGGACAGAAAACAAGAAUUGCUCCUGUGCUCACAUAGUUCAAUGAAAUGAACUGAAUUUAGGUGGAGGCUAAUGAUUUGAGAUACUUGAGAGGAUGGAAAAGUUUCUUCCCAUUUGGAAACUCUAUGAAGGUACUCCCUUCACAUAGUUGCAUUCUGGUCAGAAACUUUGAAAAAUUGCACAGGGAGCUACGAUGAAUGGAUUGAGCUCAUCUUUGGUAUCCAUGGAUGAUUUAUCAAUUCUAAUCAAACUCACAAAUUGCAUCUCAAUAGGAAUUAGGAAUAAGGCACUUCCUUUGCAAAAUUUCAGAGAAGGCAGAAACUUGCAUUGGAUCAUGUUCCCAAUUUUUGAUCUGUGGAACAUGAGACAAGAAUGGAACUAGUGAUUAUAUAGCAAGGACAAGCUCCACAAUUUAUGUGGAAAUUUUCUCUGCUAUAAAAAUAGUAGUUCCUUUGGAAAAUGGCAGAAAUGCAAUACUGGCUUAAAAUAGGAAAAGGCAAUUUUUCUUAUUUAAUUAUGGACAAUAUAUUUGCCAGAGCUUGGAUGAGGCAUAAAUAUCAACUCCCCCAAUUCUCAUGAAUUUAGGAGAUGGCUAGCUAUGCCUUUGGAUUUUAUUCCUCAGAAAGGCAAGAAAGGAAUAAAUCACAAUUCAAAAAUAUUGCAUAGGACUUAGCAAUAUUUUUGCAUAUCCAGGGUUCAGGAAGGUAGAAGGGUCUCUGGGAAUAGAGUGGAUGAUCAACAGAUCAAGGAAAAUGAUGACUCCUUUGUAUUCACAAAGGGCACAUUCAAAUUCCAAAAAUUUGGAAUUAGGGUUUGAGAGGGUUUGGAAUGAUGCAAAUGAGGUCUUGCCCACUAACAAAGACAUGAGCAGGGUUUUGAAAUGUUGUAAAUGACAAGAAUUAUCAGAGUCAUCCAACAAACUCAGGAGAAAGAUUUUGAAAAUGAGUGCCAGGAAGGAAUAACAACUCAAAAAUUGAUAACCCAAUUUUGGGGCUGUUACAACUCCCCCCCCCCUUAAAAAGAAUCUCAUCCUCGAGAUUCCUAGAGUUACUGCACAAAUGAAAGGAUAACCACUUCGGUGAAAAACCUCAAGGUUAAUUUUAACACUUCGGUCAGAUUCAAAUGAGUUGGGGUACCGAUAAUUGGUCCACCCAAAGAGAGAUAUGGGCAAAACAGGGUUACCUCCACGGCUAGGGGCACUCGAGAUCAAAUUCCCGAAAAAUGCUGGAUGCACGUUGGGGUACUGGAAAAUUUUGCGGAUUGCUCCACGAAAAAGUAGGUGUUGGGGUAGAAUCGGAGUUGAAAUCUGUAUUGGGGUAGAUGUACUGGAUUGAGUGAAAUAAAGUUGGCAGUGUUCCUCCGGAAAUGAAAUCGGGAACAAGAAUUAGAGACGAGGAACUGCCAGACGGAAAUGCCUCUGCGAGGCUCUAGGUUUAGAAAUCCGGCACAUGGGGUAUGCACAGAUAGAGAGGGAUAUGUGACUUUGCUUUUCCCCGAGUACUGCCCUAAAUGUACUCGUUGGUGAACCGGGUAUGCGUGCAGUAUGCAGUACAAACAAACUAACAAACAGACCGAUGCGACAAACAUGCAAUAAAAAGCACAGCAGACAAAUCAUUCUAAGGUUUUUUAAUGCUAGUGAAUAUAUGUAGUCCUGGCAUACAUAUGCCUACACCAGCGCGCAUUUAUUAGAUACUCAGGACGAGCCAAUGUUUUUUUAGUGUAUGUGUCGUACUGAUUAAAAUCUUGUUAGCAACACAUUGCCAACCCUGUCAAACAUCUCUGCUUGACAGAGAGACAAACAAAAACAAGCACGAAAACAAAAGCACGAAAACAUACACCGCAUACGGAUUACAGCAUACAACAAAGCACGAAUGCUCUACGCGCUAAACGAAACUAUUUACUCCGGGAUACAUAGUUCUAUCCUCAUAUCGAGGAUGAAUAGACUGACUGACCUACUCGCAUAAUCAUCUCACUGCGCGGCUGAGGUCAUGCAGAGGACUCGCCUUGCUGGGCUCUCCUGGAGGACGAAGACUGAGCCAAUCUCCAUCUUCAUCGUUCGACACUACUAUGGGUUGGGGCUCUACUACUGGAGGUGUGGCUGAAAUCGAUCCAAGCAAAUGCUGCUGGUGGAUCCGUAAAAGAGCCUUGUCGAGGGUGAUGAUGUUUGGCUGAGAGGAUAGCACUGGUUCGUAUGGCGUUGGGCAAACGACUUGAGAUGCGAAUUUACGAGCCUCACGGUAAGCUUCCUUGACGACUCCUACCACAUCAUUGUCCAUGGUUCUAAACUCGGCAAGCAUCUUUGAAAUCAUCAUCCCUUGGGCAGUGAUAUACUGCACCAGGCGAGCGAUUGCGGGGUCAUCUCCUUGGAUAGCAGGAGAAGGCUGCAUUCCUGCUUCUGCCACAAUGGGGAACAAGCAGAACUCCCGCCUCGUUGCCACAUGCGGGAACUUGGUUCGGAGGUGUAGGAUAGCCUCCGCAGCAGCGGCCUGAAUGGCUAAAUCAGUGGUAGGCAUGGAUCUACCCUGAAAAACCAACGGCUGGCCAUCUACUGCGGGACCUAGGCUGAUGUGCACUCUUGCAUCAAAGCGAUGAAGGUGAGGGACGGGUGCCGACUGGAACAUCAGGUAAUCGGGGCUAGCCUUACAGCCAAAGGCUUUGGUGAGCAUCUCAGUAAGAAGGGGUGGAAAGCCACUGUGGUUGACGGCACAGGUGCGGAUGUAAUACUUGGAAGCUUUGAAGCUACUAGUCAUGGCUGGGGAGCUACUAGCUAGGCUUCUCUGCAGGGACAUGGCUGACUGAGGGGUGAGCAAUAUGGGGAGCCGAAAGGGGCUUUUAUAGGCAGCUAUGCAGGAUGCCCGCAGGGCGUGGCCCCUUUCCCUUAAUGGCGAAUGGAAAGUGGUGCGGCCGACCAGAAAGGAUAGGGCUGCUAUUCGUUCCACGGAUAACUAGGCGGGGACAGCGGGGUGAGGAAGUGUCGGUCCUGACUGCGCCACCUGUUGAUUAACAGUGGCCAUGCCGGAUGCCAGGGAUGGGUCAAAUACCUUAGGGUCAUUACAGGUUGAUGGUAGCGGUGAUCUAAUGCUAGGAUAACCUAUGCCAGCCUGGCUGCUCUGAAACCAUCUCCUGUGGCACCCCGAUCCACAUGGAGUAGGGGGCCUUCGCACGUCAGCCCAGGAUAACACCUGACGCAUGACAGGUCCAUGAUACAGCAUUCCAUGUACAAUAAUAUUCAUCAAAUAUAUGUGCAUAAGAUUACAUCAUUGAUGAAUACAAUUAUCUAGCAUAGCCCUAAGGCUAUUUAAAUGGUGGCGGAAGUCUUGGUUUGGCAGCAUCUCACUCUGGCUGGACUCCAUAACUCACAGGACUGGCAAGAUUACGACCUAGCACGAUAGAACAAGCGAACAAUUCGGGCAUGACCUACAAAACUGGCAUGACACGCCAGGUCAGUACAUUGAAUGUACUUGCAAGACAACCAAAUACAUAGCAUCCAAACAAACAGAUGACAAAGCAAGAACCAAGCAUAUGCAACAGUCUACUUCAACACAACUUCUAAGCAUGGCAUGAUAUUAACUAGAAUCAUAAAUCAAACUAAGCAUGAACCACAUCAUAGCAUCUACUAGCAUGGCAUAUCAAACAAACUUCCAGCAAAGCAACAACAAAGCAUAGCAUAUCAAAUAAUGGCAUGACACCAUGAAACUAUGCUGAAAAUAAACUAUUACUUACCUCCCGUGAAGACAUGUUGUAUUAAUCUUACCCAACAAUCACUUACUCUGCCACGGCUCCUUGGAGCACACGCAUGGCUUACCAAGACCUAGUCUCGGGGUCAUAUCAACACAUCAUCCUGACUUGUCACGAUUUUCCCAUAGACCAAGUCACCACAUGACUUAUAUC